rnacentral:rRNA from 1 species
ACUCAAAUGAAUUGACGGGGGCCUGCACAAGCGGUGGAGUAUGUGGCUUAAUUCGAUGCAACGCGAAGAACCUUACCUGGCCUUGACAUGCAUUUAGUAGAACCAUGAAAGUGGGACGAUCCCGCAAGGGAAGGAUGCACAGGUGCUGCAUGGCUGUCGUCAGCUCGUGUCGUGAGAUGUUGGGUUAAGUCCCGCAACGAGCGCAACCCUUGUGUCCUGUUGCCACCCCCUCGAGAGAGGGGAGCACUCUGGACAGACUGCCUCGCUUAAACGAGGAGGAAGGUGGGGAUGACGUCAAGUCAGUAUGGCCCUUACGGCCAGGGCUGCACACGUACUACAAUGCGCGGCACAGAAGGAAGCUAGACCGUCAGGUGGAGCAAAUCCCGAAAACCGCGCCCAGUUCAGAUUGUCGUCUGCAACUCGACGACAUGAAGCCGGAAUCGCUAGUAAUGGCGCAUCAGCUACGGCGCCGUGAAUACGUUCCCAGGCCUUGUACACACCGCCCGU